GGCGGUGGUAGGCUCUGAAGUCCCCUACGUUCGUCGAGACGGAUCCCAGCAUUCUGGUGGUAGAGGCAGAAGGAUCAAAAGUUCAAGACCAUUCUCGGCUACAUCCCAAGUUUGAGGCCAGCUUCAGCUACAUGAGACCCUGUCACAAACGAAAGAGUUUAAGGCCAACCCAUAGGCUGCACAGCAAGAAAUUGUCUUAAGAGGUUUUCACAGCUGAAGGCUCAAGGUAAAGCAGGAUGUCUGUGGAUCCGAUGGCCUAUGAGGCCCAGUUCUUUGGCUUCACCCCACAGACUUGCUUGCUGAGGAUCUACAUAGCAUUUCAAGACCACCUCUUUGAAGUGAUGCAGGCUGUUGAACAGGUUAUCUUAAAGAAGCUGGAGGGCAUUCCAGACUGUGAGAUUAGCUCUAUCCAGACUCGUAAAUGCACAGAGAAGUUUCUUUGCUUCAUGAAAGGACGUUUUGAUAACCUUUUUGGUAAAAUGGAGCAGCUGAUUUUACAAUCGAUUUUGCAAAUUCCUCCAAACAUCCUGCUUCCUGAAGAUAAGUGUCAGGAGACGAAUCCUUUCAGUGAAGAAAAAUUCCAGCUUCUCAAACAGGAAAUCAAAGAGUUACAGGAGAAAUAUAAGGUUGAAUUAUGCACUGAGCAGGCCCUUCUUGCAGAAUUAGAGGAGCAAAAAACUGUUAAAGCCAAACUCAGAGAGACGUUGACUUUCUUUGAUGAGCUUGAAAACAUCGGCAGGUAUCAAGGAACUAGUAACUUUAGGGAGAGUUUGGUGUCUCUGGUCCAGAACUGCAGAAAACUCCAGGAUAUUAGAGAUAAUGUAGAAAAAGAGAGCAAAAGGCUGGAAACACAAUAAUUUCUCAGUAGUGAAGAGAGAGCAUGUAAAUAGAUCGCUUUUCUUUGUUUACUCUUAUGUUUAAGGUCUUUUGGGGGCCACGUUCCCCUCCUUUCCUAGGUUACACAAAGCCAGUCAGGAGAUCGGUAUUGCUGCAGGCUCCAGGUCAGACUUCUAAAGCAGAGUUUGCGUUCAUUUGCUUUUCUCCCUCUGAAACUUGAGUUGACCACCCUCACAUUUGGUAAUGACUUCAGUUCUUUUGUAACUGUACUCAUUUUACUGUUAGGGAUGUUAUAGUAUGAUUUCAGGAGGGAAUAGAAUCCUCAUGGAACUGGAUGCUUCUGUGUAAACCUGGUCUGGGUAUUUAUUGAGUAUAACCAUGAAGUACAUUAGAGCAGAAAAGCUAGGCUGAGGCAUAGCUGAGUGGUAGAGUAUGCUUGGCAUGUGGGUCCCUCGGGAUUUAACAUGGGAGAGAAGCAAAAAGAGGAGCAGGAAGAAGGAAAAGCAAACAAAGGACAGCAGGAUACAGCAGAGGUGUGGGGGUCAGGGAUAUGGGAUGGUGUAUAUUGCAGUAUGAGAAAGGGCAUGUCUGAUAAUGUAAGAUUCAAGUCACACAUAGAAGGCGUUAGCCUCGUGCUUAUGGGAUUAUCCUAGGCAAAGAAAACAGUAGAAAACCCAUAAGGUAGAGCAUAUUAAGGAAUUCACACAGCUGGAACAGAUAUGGAAGUGUAGGAAAAGGGGAUACACCUGUCCUGUUCCAGGCUAGUUUUUGUAAGACAGACAAGGGCUGAUGAGAUGGGUCAGCAGGUAAAAGUACUUGUAGUACAAGCCUGCUGACCUGUGUAGGAUUCCUAGAACCUACUUAAAGAUGGAAAGGAGGCUUGACUCCACAGAUUGUCCUCUGAUUGCUAAAGGUACACUGGCAUGUGCACUCCCAUCUCCCACAUUGUGUAUGCACACACAGUGAUUUAUAUAUCUUAAGAGACAAGCAAAACCCCUGUGUAUGUGUGAAUGUGUACUAUUAAAACUGACUCCUGAGGGGUUGGGGAUUUGGCUCAGUGGUAGAGCGCUUGCCUAGCAAGCGCAAGGCCCUGGGUUCGGUCCCCAGCUCCGAAAAAAAGAAAGGGAAAAAAAACAAAACAAAACAAAACAAAACAAAAAAAAAAACCUGACUCCUGGCUCGAGAGAUGGCUCAGCUGCUAAGAGCACUGACUGCUUUUCCAGAGGUCCUGAGUUCAGUUCCCAGCAGCUACACAGUGGUUCACAACUGUCUGUAGUGGGAUCUGAUGUUCUCUGCUAGUGUGUCUGAAGAUAGCUACAGAAUACUCAUAUAAGUAAAAUAAAUCUUAAAAAAAAACAACAAGGGGCUGGGGAUUUAGCUCAGUGGUAGAGCGCUUACCUAGGAAGUGCAAAGCCCUGGGUUCGGUCCCCAGCUCAAAAAAAACCCAACAAAACAAAAAAAAACUAGCAGGGGCUGGAGAGAUGGCUCAGUGGUUAAGAGCAUUGACUGCUCUUCCAGAGGUCCUGAGUUCAAUUCCCAGCAACCACACGGUGGCUCACAACCAUUUGUAAUGGGGAUUCGAUGCCCUCUUCUGGUAUGUCUGAAGACAGCGACAGUGCACUCAUAUAUAUGAAAUAAAUAAAUAAAUCCUAAAAAAAAAAAAAAACCAAAAAAACAAAAAAAAAAAAAAAAACUAGCUGGGUUUCAUGUACACCAUUGGUCCUAGUACUCGGGAGGCAGAGGCGAGUGGACCGCUUAGAAGUUUAGCCUGGCUUCCAUAAAGAGUUCCAGGGCAGCCAGGACUAAAGAGACCCCAUCUCAAAAAACAAAAGGAAAAUAAAACCCAAAUGUGAUUGAUGGCACUUGUUAUAUUUAUAAAGCAGACUUUAUUCAGGACCCUUAAGUUAGAUAUUGGGACGAUUGCAGCAGGAUUUUGCAUUGAGGGAGAGACUGGAUUCUGAACAUAAGAAGGAAGAAGUCGGGAAUGUGCAGCUCGGGCAGAAUGGGAUGGGUUGGGAGGAAGCAGGUAUCAUUGGGUGGGAAAUUACUCAAAGGUGGUGUAAGGGGUUUGAAUGUAUCCCACAAAAUUCAUGUUAAAACUCUGACUUCUUAGUGGUAUACUAUUGAAGUUUACACUUUGAUUAGUGCCAUUACUGUGGGAACAUGAGUGUUCUUUAGGGAGUAGGUUUCCAAUAAAAGUAUGAGUUUAGGUCCUGCUCUGUCAUGAUCUCACCCUGUAACACCUCUACUAUGGGAAGAGACCGUCUCUUUAACUUUGGACUCUAUACCUGUAAUAAAUAAAUACUUGAGUAUUUA
rnacentral:lncRNA from 1 species